rnacentral:rRNA from 1 species
GACGCUGGCGGCAUGCCUAACACAUGCAAGUCGAACGAGACCUUCGGGUCUAGUGGCGCACGGGUGCGUAACACGUGGGAAUUUGCCUCGGGGUAUGGAAUAACUCAGGGAAACUUGAGCUAAUACCAUAUAAUGUCUUCGGACCAAAGAUUUAUCGCCCUGAGAUAAGCCCGCGUAGGAUUAGCUAGUUGGUGGGGUAAAAGGCUCACCAAAGGCGACGAUCCUUAGCUGGUCUGAGAGGAUGAUCAGCCACACUGGGACUGAGACACGGCCCAGACUCCUACGGGAGGCAGCAGUGGGGGAAUAUUGGACAAUGGGCGAAAGCCUGAUCCAGCAAUGCCGCGUGAGUGAUGAAGGCCUUCGGGUUGUAAAGCUCUUUUACUCGGGACGAUAAUGACGGUACCGAGAGAAUAAGCCCCGGCUAACUCCGUG